rnacentral:rRNA from 1 species
AUUCCCUAGUACGGCGAGUGAGCGGGAAGAGCUCAAAUUUGAAAUCUGGUGGCCUCAGGUCAUCCGAGUUGUAAUCUAUAGAAGUGUUUUCCGUGCUGGCUCAUGUACAAGUCCCUUGGAACAGGGCGUCAUAGAGGGUGAGAAUCCCGUCCUUGACAUGAACUACCAGUGCUCUGUGAUACAUUUUCAACGAGUCGAGUUGUUUGGGAAUGCAGCUCAAAAUGGGUGGUAAAUUCCAUCUAAAGCUAAAUAUUGGCGAGAGACCGAUAGCGAACAAGUACCGUGAGGGAAAGAUGAAAAGCACUUUGGAAAGAGAGUUAAACAGUAUGUGAAAUUGUUGAAAGGGAAACGAUUGAAGUCAGUCGUGCUCUUUGGAUUCAGCCGGUUCUGCCGGUGUACUUCCUUUGAGUGGGGUCAACAUCAGUUUUGAUCGCUGGAUAAAGGCUGGAGGAACGUAGUACCCUCGGGUAAACUUAUAGCCUCCUGUCACAUACAGUGGUUGGGACUGAGGAACGCAGCACGCCUUUAUGGCCGGGAUUCGUCCACGUACGUGCUUAGGAUGUUGACAUAAUGGCUUUAAACGACCCGUCUUGAAACACGGACCA